UACAGAGGGUGCGAGCGUUAAUCGGAAUUACUGGGCGUAAAGCGUGCGCAGGCGGUUGUGCAAGACCGAUGUGAAAUCCCCGGGCUUAACCUGGGAAUGGCAUUGGUGACUGCACGGCUAGAGUGUGUCAGAGGGGGGGUAGAAUUCCACGUGUAGCAGUGAAAUGCGUAGAGAUGUGGAGGAAUACCGAUGGCGAAGGCAGCCCCCUGGGAUGACACUGACGCUCAUGCACGAAAGCGUGGGGAGCAAACAGG
rnacentral:rRNA from 1 species